rnacentral:rRNA from 1 species
CAGACGAGGAUAACAGUUGGAAACGACUGCUAAGACUGGAUAGGAAGUUUUAAGGCAUCUUGAAACUUUUAAAAGACCCGCAAGGGUAUGCUGAGAGAUGGGCUUGCGGCACAUUAGUUAGUUGGUAAGGUAACGGCUUACCAAGACCAUGAUGUGUAGCUGGACUGAGAGGUUGAACGGCCACAUUGGGACUGAGAUACGGCCCAAACUCCUACGGGAGGCAGCAGUAAGGAAUUUUCGGCAAUGGAGGAAACUCUGACCGAGCAACGCCGCGUGAACGAUGAAGUAUUUAGGUAUGUAAAGUUCUUUUAUUAAAGAAGAAAAAAUGAUGGAAAAAUCAUUCUGACGGUAUUUAAUGAAUAAGCCCCGGCUAACUAUGUGCCAGCAGCUGCGGUAAUACAUGGGGGGCAAGCGUUAUCCGGAUUUAUUGGGCGUAAAGGGUGCGUAGGCGGUUUAAUAAGUCUAUGGUCUAAGUUCAACGCUUAACGUUGUGAUGCUAUAGAAACUGUUUGACUAGAGUUGGAUAGAGGCAAGUGGAAUUCCAUGUGUAGCGGUAAAAUGCGUAAAGAUAUGGAGGAACACCAGUAGCGAAGGCGGCUUGCUGGGUCUUAACUGACGCUGAGGCACGAAAGCGUGGGGAGCAAACAGGAUUAGAUACCCUGGUAGUCCACGCCGUAAACGAUGAGUACUAAGUGUUGGGUUAAACCAGUGCUGAAGUUAACGCAUUAAGUACUCCGCCUGAGUAGUACGUACGCAAGUAUGAAACUUAAAGGAAUUGACGGGACUCCGCACAAGCGGUGGAUCAUGUUGUUUAAUUCGAAGAUACACGAAAAACCUUACCAGGUCUUGACAUACUCUGCAAAGCUAUAGAAAUAUAGUGGAGGUUAUCAGGGAUACAGGUGGUGCAUGGUUGUCGUCAGCUCGUGUCGUGAGAUGUUGGGUUAAGUCCCGCAACGAGCGCAACCCUUAUCGCUAGUUACCAUCAUUUAGUUGGGCACUUUAGUGAGACUGCCAAUGAUAAAUUGGAGGAAGGUGGGGAUUACGUCAAAUCAUCAUGCCCCUUAUGACCUGGGCUACAAACGUGAUACAAUGGCUGUUACAAAGAGUAGCUGAAGCGUGAGUUUUUAGCAAAUCUCAAAAAAACAGUCUCAGUUCGGAUUGAAGUCUGCAACUCGACUUCAUGAAGUCGGAAUCGCUAGUAAUCGCGAAUCAGCAUGUCGUGGUGAAUACGUUCUCGGGGUUUGUACACACCGCCCGUCAAACCAUGAAAGUUGACAAUACCCGAAACCAGUAGCCUAACUUGCAAAAGAGGGAACUGUCUAAGGUAGGGUUGAUGAUUGGGGUUAAGUCGUAACAAGGUAUCC